rnacentral:tRNA from 1 species
GGUGGGAUGGCAGAGUGGUCGAAUGCGGCGGUCUUGAAAACCGUUGGCCGUUCACGCGGCCCGUGGGUUCGAAUCCCACUCCCACCGCCA